rnacentral:rRNA from 1 species
AUUGAACGCUGGCGGCAUGCCUUACACAUGCAAGUCGAACGGUAACAGGUCUUCGGAUGCUGACGAGUGGCGAACGGGUGAGUAAUACAUCGGAACGUGCCCGAUCGUGGGGGAUAACGAAGCGAAAGCUUUGCUAAUACCGCAUACGAUCUACGGAUGAAAGCAGGGGACCGCAAGGCCUUGCGCGAACGGAGCGGCCGAUGGCAGAUUAGGUAGCUGGUGGGAUAAAAGCUUACCAAGCCGACGAUCUGUAGCUGGUCUGAGAGGACGACCAGCCACACUGGGACUGAGACACGGCCCAGACUCCUACGGGAGGCAGCAGUGGGGAAUUUUGGACAAUGGGCGAAAGCCUGAUCCAGCCAUGCCGCGUGCAGGAUGAAGGCCUUCGGGUUGUAAACUGCUUUUGUACGGAACGAAAAGACUCUGGUUAAUACCUGGGGUCCAUGACGGUACCGUAAGAAUAAGCACCGGCUAACUACGUGCCAGCAGCCGCGGUAAUACGUAGGGUGCAAGCGUUAAUCGGAAUUACUGGGCGUAAAGCGUGCGCAGGCGGUUAUACAAGACAGAUGUGAAAUCCCCGGGCUCAACCUGGGAACUGCAUUUGUGACUGUAUAGCUAGAGUACGGCAGAGGGGGAUGGAAUUCCGCGUGUAGCAGUGAAAUGCGUAGAUAUGCGGAGGAACACCGAUGGCGAAGGCAAUUCCCUGGGCCUGUACUGACGCUCAUGCACGAAAGCGUGGGGAGCAAACAGG